ACUCAAUAGAUACCCGGGUAGUCCACGCCCUAAACGAUGUCUACUAGUUGUCGGGUCUUAAUUGACUUGGUAAACGCAGCUAAACGCGUGAAGUAGACCGCCUGGGGAGUACGGUCGCAAGAUUAAAACUCAAAGGAAUUGACGGGGACCCGCACAAGCGGUGGAUGAUGUGGAUUAAUUCGAUGCAACGCGAAAAACCUUACCUACCCUUGACAUGGAUGGAAUCCCUGAGAGAUUGGGGAGUGCUCGAAAGAGAACCAUUACACAGGUGCUGCAUGGCUGUCGUCAGCUCGUGUCGUGAGAUGUUGGGUUAAGUCCCGCAACGAGCGCAACCCUUGUCAUUAGUUGCUACGAAAGGGCACUCUAAUGAGACUGCCGGUGACAAACCGGAGAAGGUGGGGAUGACGUCAAGUCCUCAUGGCCCUUAUGGGUAGGGCUUCACACGUCAUACAAUGGUACAUACAGAGGGCCGCCAACCCGGCGAGGGGUAGCUAAUCCCAGAAAGUGUAUCGUAGUCCGGAUUGUAGUCUGCAACUC
rnacentral:rRNA from 1 species